rnacentral:rRNA from 1 species
AUUGAACGCUGGCGGCAUGCCUAACACAUGCAAGUCGAGCGCGCGGCGGGAGGGGGAGUAAUGUCUGGGAAACUGCCUGCUGGAGAGGGAUAACUACUGGAAAAGGUAGCUAAUACCGCAUACCAUCAGAUGUGCCAAGAUGGGAGUGGCUGGUAGGUGGGGUAACGGCUCACCUAGGCGACGAUCCCUAGCUGGUCUGAGAGGAUGACCAGCCACACUGGAACUGAGACACGGGCCAGACUCCUACGGGAGGCAGCAGUGGGGAAUAUUGCACAAUGGGCGCAAGCCUGAUGCAGCCAUGCCGCGUGUGUGAAGAAGGCCUUCGGGUUUUAAAGCACUUUCAGCGGGGAGGCGUUACCCGCAGAAGAAGCACCGGCUAACUCCGUGCCAGCAGCCGCGGUAAUUC